rnacentral:rRNA from 1 species
UUAAGCAUAUCAAUAAGCGGAGGAAAAGAAACCAACAGGGAUUGCCCUAGUAACGGCGAGUGAAGCGGCAACAGCUCAAAUUUGAAAUCUGGCGCAAGCCCGAGUUGUAAUUUGUAGAGGAUGCUUCUAGGUAGCGACCGGUCUAAGUUCCUUGGAACAGGACGUCAUAGAGGGUGAGAAUCCCGUAUGUGACCGGCCCGCACCUUCUACGUAGCUCCUUCGACGAGUCGAGUUGUUUGGGAAUGCAGCUCUAAAUGGGAGGUAAAUUUCUUCUAAAGCUAAAUACCGGCCAGAGACCGAUAGCGCACAAGUAGAGUGAUCGAAAGAUGAAAAGCACUUUGGAAAGAGAGUUAAAAAGCACGUGAAAUUGUUGAAAGGGAAGCGCUUACAACCAGACUUCUGGGCGGUGUUCCGCCGGUCUUCUGACCGGUCUACUCGCCGUCCCGAGGCCAACAUCAUCUGGGACCGCUGGAUAAGACCUCAGGAAUGUAGCUUCCCUCGGGAAGUGUUAUAGCCUGUGGUGAUGCAGCGCGUCUCGGGUGAGGUCCGCGCUUCGGCAAGGAUGUUGGCGUAAUGGUUGUCAGCGGCCCGUCUUGAAACACGGACCAAGGAGUCUAACAUCUAUGCGAGUGUUCGGGUGUCAAACCCCUACGCGUAAUGAAAGUGAACGGAGGUGGGAAGCGCAAGCUGCACCAUCGACCGAUCCUGAUGUCCUCGGAUGGAUUUGAGUAAGAGCAUAGCUGUUGGGACCCGAAAGAUGGUGAACUAUGCCUGAAUAGGGUGAAGCCAGAGGAAACUCUGGUGGAGGCUCGCAGCGGUUCUGACGUGCAAAUCGAUCGUCAAAUUUGGGUAUAGGGGCGAAAGACUAAUCGAACCAU